UGGGGAAUAUUGCACAAUGGGCGCAAGCCUGAUGCAGCCAUGCCGCGUGUGUGAAGAAGGCCUUCGGGUUGUAAAGCACUUUCAGCGAGGAGGAAGGUGGUGAGCUUAAUACGCUCAUCAAUUGACGUUACUCGCAGAAGAAGCACCGGCUAACUCCGUGCCAGCAGCCGCGGUAAUACGGAGGGUGCAAGCGUUAAUCGGAAUUACUGGGCGUAAAGCGCACGCAGGCGGUUUGUUAAGUCAGAUGUGAAAUCCCCGGGCUCAACCUGGGAACUGCAUUUGAAACUGGCAAGCUAGAGUCUCGUAGAGGGGGGUAGAAUUCCAGGUGUAGCGGUGAAAUGCGUAGAGAUCUGGAGGAAUACCGGUGGCGAAGGCGGCCCCCUGGACGAAGACUGACGCUCAGGUGCGAAAGCGUGGGGCAGCAAACAGGAUUAGAUACCCUGGUAGUCCACGCUGUAAAACGAUGUCGAUUUGGAGGUUGUGCCCUUGAGGCGUGGNUUCCGGAGCUAACGCGUUAAA
rnacentral:rRNA from 1 species